UACGAAGGGGGCAAGCGUUGUUCGGAGUUACUGGGCGUAAAGGGCGCGUAGGCGGAUCUGCAAGUCAGAGGUGAAAGCCCUGGGCUCAACCCGGGAAUUGCCUUUGAGACUGUUGGUCUUGAGUAUGGGAGAGGGUGGCGGAAUACCCAGUGUAGAGGUGAAAUUCGUAGAUAUUGGGUAGAACACCGGUGGCGAAGGCGGCCACCUGGCCCAUAACUGACGAUGAGGCGCGACAGCGUGGGGAGCAAACAGG
rnacentral:rRNA from 1 species